rnacentral:rRNA from 1 species
UACGUAGGGGCGAGCGUUGUCCGGAUUUAUUGGGCGUAAAGAGCGUGUAGGCGGUUCGGUAAGUCUGUCGUGAAAUCCUGAGGCUCAACCUCGGACGUGCGAUGGAUACUGCCGGGCUAGAGGAUGGUAGAGGCGAGUGGAAUUCCCGGUGUAGCGGUGAAAUGCGCAGAUAUCGGGAGGAACACCAGUAGCGAAGGCGGCUCGCUGGGCCAUUCCUGACGCUGAGACGCGAAAGCUAGGGAGCGAACGAGG